rfam:Spirochaeta africana DSM 8902, complete genome.
GGGGGUGUAGCUCAGUUGGCUAGAGUGCGUGAAUGGCAUUCACGAGGUCACGGGUUCGAAUCCCGUCACCUCCA